rnacentral:rRNA from 1 species
CCUGAGAAACGGCUACCACAUCCAAGGAAGGCAGCAGGCGCGCAAAUUACCCACUCCCGGCACGGGGAGGUAGUGACGAAAAAUAACGAUACGGGACUCAUCCGAGGCCCCGUGAUCGGAAUGAGCACACUUUAAAUCCUUUAACGAGGAUCAAUUGGAGGGCAAGUCUGGUGCCAGCAGCCGCGGUAAUUCCAGCUCCAAUAGCGUAUAUUAAAGUUGUUGCGGUUAAAAAGCUCGUAGUCGAAAUUGUGUCCUCGGCCGCCGGUUCGUCGUCGGACCAACUGCGCGGCACCUGACGUCCAGCCGGUACUACGAACUCGCUACGGGGUGCUCUUAACCGAGUGUCCAGGCGGGGGGCGCAACGUUACUUUGAACAAAUUAAAGUGCUUAAAGCAGGCUAAAUUCCGCUCGCAUACACGCGCAUGGAAUAAUCGAAUAGGACCUCCGUUCUAUUUUGUUGGUUUUUGGAACACGCGAGGUAAUGAUCAAUGGGGGCGGAUGGGGGCAUUCGUAUUGCGACGUUAGAGGUGAAAUUCUUGGACCGUCGCAAGCAAGACUUAAGCGAAAGCAUUUGCCAAAAACGCUUUCAUCGAUCAAGAACGAAAGUUAGAGGUUCGAAGGCGAUCAGAUACCGCCCUAGUUCUAACCAUAAACUAUGCCAGCUAGCGAUCCGCCGAAGUUACUUCUACGACUCGGCGGGCAGCUUCCGGGAAACCAAAGCUUUCGGGUUCCGGGGGAAGUAUGGUUGCAAAGCUGAAACUUAAAGGAAUUGACGGAAGGGCACCACCAGGAGUGGAGCCUGCGGCUUAAUUUGACUCAACACGGGAAACCUCACCAGGCCCGGACACCGGAAGGAUUGACAGAUUGAGAGCUCUUUCUUGAUUCGGUGGGUGGUGGUGCAUGGCCGUUCUUAGUUGGUGGAGCGAUUUGUCUGGUUAAUUCCGAUAACGAACGAGACUC